AUGAGCCCGGGCGCGAGGCUAGACUGUUGCCGCUCAGCCUCAGUUCAUCCUUGUGUGUGUGCCGCUUGUGAGAGAAGACGAUGCGCCCCCAAAAAACCCUUAAAUAACAUGUGAAUAAUAUCUGUUCUGUGUCAGGAUUUACUUCCCUGGGAUUUUUUAAUGCAGCUUGUCCAAGAAAUUCCUCCAAAAAUGGCUGAACAAACUAAUACAGCUCCACGCAUUAAGCAGGAGCGGCUGGAUGAGAGGGAGAUCAACCAGCUUGCUCAGGAGAUGGUAGAGAAGAACAAGCAGAAGAUGAUCUCCCAGGCAGCGCAGAUUGCCCAGCAGAACCAGGCCUCUCAACAGGCUCUUCAGCGUGCUGGUGGUCAGCAGAUGAUCACCUUCUACUUCAAUCGUGACAAGAGCAGCAUUACGGCAAAGGAGGACUCUCUUGUCCCCAACAAAGUAGAGGAGAAGAAGAAAGGGACCAUUGAUGAGGAGAGCCAGAGAGGGCGCUUUGGCUGGUCCACGAUCCACGAUGCCCAUAUCCCAUACUUGUUCCGGCGCGAGGACAAGUACUGUGCCGUGAGGAUGGUGGAGACGAAGCUACUAAACAAGUACCUCAACUUCCUUCCGCACGAGAUCACCACAUGCAUCCACGUGAGAAGUUACUUCAUCACAGAGGGAGAGGCCAAGUUACUGAAUGAGAUCAACAUGAAACAUUGUGAAUUUCAAUUCGGACGGGACCUCUUCACGACCAAAGAUUUAGUAGUGAGACUGCAUGAUGCACGGUGCUUUUACAAGUUCCUAGAUACAUGCUUUAAAAAGCUGGUACAAAAGUCGCCCGAGCAGAGUGAACACUGUGGAUUUGUUAGAAUUAAUGGUGAGAGUGUUGUGCCGUAUACAGUAAAAAAUAAACAAAAAUACGUACCUCUGUUUUAUUUUGAAGGUGAAACUGACACAUUGAAAUUGAAAGCAGAAAAGAUAGAUAACUGGGAACUUGCUUAUCUGAAAUUUUGUUGUAAAGUUCAGGGUAUCAGAAACGAGCUGUUUGCAAGUGAUACUUGUGCAGUGGUUAGUCUUGAGGAUGUGCAACAGUAUUUCCCCAAAGACACGCUCUUUGAAGACUGGUGGCCACAGAAAACGGCAGAACCAAUGAAAGUGAAUAGUCCUGGCACAAAACUAGGUGGAAUCUGGACACAGAGACCUCCAGUAGGCUCUCCCAGUGCCCCUCAACAGACCCAUCUAGCCUCAUCAUCAACUACGUUAACACCUAUAGCAAGCAAACCUCCGUCAAUGCCUAUUGCCACCACCGCCAGCCAUAUCACCCCUGCGGUAGCAGCGGCGGCGGCAGUGUCAGCAGCAGCUGGCAGCCCCUCAAAUUCCCUGACCUCUCUGACCAAUUCUCUGAACUCAUUCUACUCUUGGGCCAACCUGGUGAAUGGCCAGGCAGUGGCUGCAGCAGCAGCAGCCUCCGCCUACUCGGGCACUCCCAACAUGCAAGCUCUUCUGUCUGGUCUCACUAUGGAGCAAAUGAGACGGUUACAGCCUCAAGUCUCGCUGCCAGCCACCACACCGCUAAUUCCCACAAUAUCUGCAUCACAAAAUACAGUUCGGCCGCCUCCUCUAGUUAGAUCUACUUCAGCGGCUGCCUCAUCCACCUCUACCUCUUCCAACAGUCGCUUGUCUGGACGUUUGCGUAACUCCUACUCCCUUUCUAGGGCCAGCAGCACGAUAGAUGCCACGCUCCGUCAGCUGGGGUAUCCUGCACAGAUUAGCCAGUCUGCACUGAAUUCUUUAGUUAAUGCUGGAAAUUCAGCUUUACAUUCAUACAACACCAGACAGACCAACAGUAGUUCACAUCAUAAUUCAUUGGCAAAUAGCAGCUCAAAAUCCAUGUCCAAAGCCCCUCCUCCGUUAAUUCCGGUGUCAAACGGCAUGCGACCUGACAAUCUAUCUAGUCAUAAAGGUGUGGGUAGAAACGGGCUCGACAAGCAGCGCCUGGCGGAUACCCCAGCUUUUAGACCGGACCCGACCAGACAAGAACCUCCCUACAAAGUCAGAAAGAAAUGGGUCUGAAAAAGGUGUCAGUGGGUGUGAAAAGAGUCCGAAUUUUGAUCUUCCAAUAAGUGCACGAACCCUUUGGUGGUUGACGGAAAGGCUGUACUCUGUAUAAACCGGACGGCCUACACUCACCAAAACCCCUCAGAUUACAAUAUGGUGGCUAUUCAAGAUGUGAUAAAGGAUUUCUUCCCAGCAGCAACCCUAACUGAAUGCAUUGAGG
rnacentral:misc_RNA from 1 species